UACGUAGGGCGCAAGCGUUGUCCGGAAUUAUUGGGCGUAAAGAGCUCGUAGGCGGCUAGUCACGUCGGGUGUGAAAGACCGGGGCUUAACCCCGGUUCUGCAUUCGAUACGGGCUGGCUAGAGUGUGGUAGGGGAGAUCGGAAUUCCUGGUGUAGCGGUGAAAUGCGCAGAUAUCAGGAGGAACACCGGUGGCGAAGGCGGAUCUCUGGGCCAUUACUGACGCUGAGGUGCGAAAGCGUGGGGAGCAAACAGG
rnacentral:rRNA from 1 species